rnacentral:rRNA from 1 species
AGUGAACGCUGGCGGUAGGCCUAACACAUGCUAGUCGAACGGCAGCACAGUAAGAGCUUGCUCUUACGGGUGGCGAGUGGCGGACGGGUGAGGAAUACAUCGGAAUCUACUUUUUCGUGGGGGAUAACGUAGGGAAACUUACGCUAAUACCGCAUACGACCUACGGGUGAAAGCAGGGGAUCUUCGGACCUUGCGCGAUUGAAUGAGCCGAUGUCGGAUUAGCUAGUUGGCGGGGUAAAGGCCCACCAAGGCGACGAUCCGUAGCUGGUCUGAGAGGAUGAUCAGCCACACUGGAACUGAGACACGGUCCAGACUCCUACGGGAGGCAGCAGUGGGGAAUAUUGGACAAUGGGCGCAAGCCUGAUCCAGCCAUACCGCGUGGGUGAAGAAGGCCUUCGGGUUGUAAAGCCCUUUUGUUGGGAAAGAAAAGCAGCAGGUUAAUACCCCGCUGUUCUGACGGUACCCAAAGAAUAAGCACCGGCUAACUUCGUG